CAACUAGUAUAAAUAGGAGGGAUGUCCUACCAUUUGUAUCAAGCCAAAAAAAAUUAGACGUGCUCAAUAACACAAGUGGCCUCUUUCUCAAUUCUCUCUUCCAAAUUUUCUCCAACCUCCCAAAUUUAUUUCCAACAAGAUUGUAUGUAUGAAAUCUAUUGUUCAAGGGAUUGCUACGGUUGUUUGUGUGAAUCUGUCCAUCUCCCGUACGUGGUACGAUGCUUUUAAAUGUAGUUCGUGGUCAGAUAUUAUGUGUGCCACUAUUUUCUGUAAGUUUCCUUUGGGGCGUCGUCGUUGGAGAAGACGCAUGCAACUCUAAUCUUGUAAUAAAAGCCUGCCCCACAAUUCUUGUGUUUGUCUUUUAAACUUGACUGAUUUAAAUGUUUAGUGAUAUUUGAUGCAUAUAAUAAGGAGAUUCACGUGUAAAGUUGAGUUGAGUUGAUAAUUAUUGUAGGAUGAAAGUGAUUGGAAGAGUUGAUGCGAAUAACGAGGUGAAAAAUGGUGAACCAAACGGUUUCAAGCACUUAAGAGGUAAAACAGGGCGUUGCUAAUGAAAUGGAGCUGAAGGGCCAAAAUGAAGCUUAAAUGCACCAAUCGAGAAAGAGAAAGCUAAAAUGACCAAAAAGCCCCUGGAAGCGCAAUGUACAAUGUAGCAACACUAGCGCCUGACGCUUUUUCCAGAAGCACCGAAUUUGAUGCAAUGUCGUGGUGCUCCAAAGUUCCUACAUGCGAAUGUUUCUGUUAGUGUUGCGGUGCUAUCACAAUUUUAUAAAUAAGAAAUAUGUCGCUUAGGGUUGAUCGAUCUCGAAUUCUAACCGAACUCCACACGAUUCUCUUUGUGUUCCCCAUCUUUUUUGUCUAUUUAUGUAUCUAAAAAGUUCCUAGAUGUCCAUCAUAACAAUUAUGGGGAUAAGGUAACUUCUUCUGGCUUGGGUUUUAGGAUUUUUCUCUAGUUUCAUGUACUGGAGAGUUUUUUCGAAUCGAACACUGAUGUAUUUGCUUGAUUCAAUUCCGUUCUUGUAAGAUUAUGAUUAUAUUAUCGAACACUUGUGGAUUUUAUGAUU